rnacentral:lncRNA from 1 species
UGAAUAUUUAAACUUUUCAUAUCAAUGACCCUGAUAGCACUAUUAAAUAAUCAAUAUGCAAUUUAAAUCAGCACUUUUGGGAUAAAUAUUCACAUUUGGGAAUACCGAGAACUUGACAAUACAUUCUUUCUUUUCAUUCUGAAGAAAAGGUGUUCCUUUCAUAUUUGGUCUAUUGAUGAUGUAUAAGAACAUCCUGCCGUUUAGAAUUAUAUUUUCUAGGAAAUCAGAUACGGCAUGUGUAUAUAAACGGCACUUUGAUAAUAACUAAAUACGAAGCUUAUCCUUGUAUCUGUUAACAUCGAACGUAAGUAUUUGAAAUAAUUUAUUCGUCAUUAUAAUUUAUUUGUAUACCUCUUUUUGGUGAAUUUUAUUUUCCUUAUUCUAUUUACCAGUUGUAUUAUAUAGUAAGCCGCCUGGUAUCUUUGAUAAAUUGUUACAACCACUAGGUCAUGUGAAUUAUAUUGCUACUGGAACUUUCUUUCCCGAUGAUACAACCAGAUAAGAAGUCAGUGGGCUGAUGUCUCCAUGCAAGAUUAUACUCAUUUUUAAUAAAUAUACCUCGUGUAAAACAUUGAAAACAUUUCUACACCCAGGCAUGCUCGUACAUAGCUUUUUUGAAUGUUUGGAUCAUAAUGCUUUUUAACAUCUUAAAAACUUAGCUCUUUAACUGUUUUGUUUAUUCGUGCACCAUUGGUGGGUCUUUUAUAGGCGACAGUUGCCUUGCGUUUAAGAUUAUAAGCCGUGCAUCUUUGAUGUUUAUAUUUUUAUCAUUAUAUGCAAGAAAACCCUUUCCGUUCAGAUAUUUAAGCACUGUCUAACAGAAAUCAUUUGAGCAAGAUUACCAACAAAGGCCACAUUAGAUUUUUACAAAAAAAACUUAUCAUACCACAUCUUCUUUUUCAUAUUUACGGCAUAUUCUAGUUAACUCAAUUUACAGAAAUCUGUCUUACCUUAGUCGAGGGUCUUGUCUUUGCUCGAAAAAUGUGAAAAAUGAGAAAAAAAAAAGAACGAGAAUAUUGUUAAUUCAAUCCAAUUAAAGGAUCCGUUUCCUAACGUAAAAAUAUUAAGUCCCCUCUAUCAAAACAUUUGUUUUACAUGCACAAGUAUAAAAACUGUGGUUUUUAUCCGACGCAGUCAUAGAUUUGAACGUUGCUUUCAAUUUAGACAAGCACAUAUAUAGUAUUGAUUAAUUAGUAGUUUUUACGAUGUAUAACUGUAAUAGGGGUCUUUGUGGAUCGAAUGAUUUACCUUGUUUCAAUUUCAAUGUUGACAUUCUUUCCUUUUUAUAACUUAACACGCCUUAGCAAUGCAUAACCAAUCUCUAGCUAAGUAGUUAGAUUGAAGUUCACAUGAAUACGGAUUACAUGAGAUAGAAACUUGAAAUUAAAGAAACAACAGUCACGGCUUCCUCCGCCUCAUUUUAGAUCUAUACCUCGAAACCAGGUUUAAUCCACCCUUUUAUAUAUAAGAAAAUACCUGAACCAAUUCAUGGGUAUGACAGUUGUGUUUUAUUAUAUGAUUUUGCCAUUUGAUUAGGGAUUAUUUUUUAUAAUAUUCCGCGGAGUUCAUUUUUUUUUCUUUACUUUUUAGUUAUACUAUUUAUCCCUAUUUAUAACAUUUUUACCUAUAGUGUCUACUUGUUUUGUUCACGCAUCGUUAUCAAUAUUAUAAAAUUUGAUGUGACUGUCAUACAGGUGAGAGCAUUAGUGCUAUAAUACCAAUUUCAAUCCACCAUAUUCUACAUUUGAAAAUGCUUUUACCAAAUAAAGGCAACAGUAGUAUACCGGUGUUCAAAAUUCAUAAAUCGAUUGAGUCAGGAAUAGGACAGUUUUUGUCCAUUCGUUUGAUGUGUUUAUCAUUUGAUUUUGCCGUUUAAUGAGGGAUAUUUUUUUUGAAUUUUCCGCGGAAUUCAGUAUUCCUGUGAUUUAACUUUUUAGCAGCCAAUAAAAAGGAAAAGAUGUGGUAUGAUUACCAAUGAGACAACUCUCCAUAAGAGACCAAUAUGGUUCAAUUUUGUAAAAAUAAAAGCUACGAAACAUUGAUGAUGAAUUAUGCACUUGCAAGUGAAUAAUUCGACCUUAUUAAAUCCGUAUUCACGUGAACCCCAAUUUAACCUCUUCUAUAGAAGUGGAUACCGCAGAAGUGGAUACCGCAGAAGUGGAUACCGCAUGCAUUGUGCGUGUUCAAUUAUUUAAAGGAAAAAAAUGUUACAUUGAAGGUAAAAAAAGGUAAAUCACUUAAUUGACUGAUUAAACUUUAAAUGCUCUUCAACUUUGUACUUGUUUGGCUUUACAAAUAUUUUGAUAUGAGCGUCACUGAUGAGUCUUAUGUAGACGAAACGCGCGUCUGGCGUACUAAAUUAUAAUCCUGGUACCUUUGAUAAAUAAAUCCAAAAAAAAAAAUCAUUCUUAUACAGGAUUUAAACGAUAAUGUUAACAUAUAUUUGAAAUCUAUAAUCAUUUAAAAAUGCCUGUACCAAAUAAAGGCAACAGUAGUAUAUCGCUGUUCAAAAUUCAUAAAUCGAUUGAGUCAGGAAUAGAACAAUGUUUGUCCAUUCGUUAGAUUUUACCGUUUAAUGAGGGAUAUUUUUUUUGAAUUUUCCGCGGAAUUCAGUAUUCCUGUGAUUUAACUUUUUAGCAGCCAAUAAAAAGGAAAAGAUGUGGUAUGAUUACCAAUGAGACAACUCUCAAUAAGAGACCAAUAUGGUUCAAUUUUGUAAAAAAAAAAAGAAACAUUGAUGAUGAAUUAUGCACUUGCAAGUGAAUAAUUCGACCUCAUUAAAUCCGUAUUCACGUGAACCCCAAUCUAACCUCUUCUAUAGAGUGGAUACCACAUGCAUUGUGCGUGUUCAAUUAUUUAAAGGAAAAAAAAAUGUUACAUUGAAGGUGAAAAAAGGUAAAUCACUUAAUUGACUGAUUAAACUUUAAAUGCUCUUCAACUUUGUACUUUUUUGGCUUUACAAAUAUUUUGAUAUGAGCGUCACUGAUGAGUCUUAUGUAGACGACACGCGCGUCUGGCGUACUAAAUUAUAAUCCGGUACCUUUGAUACAUAAAUUCACAAAAAAAAAAUCAUUCUUAUACAGGAUUUAAACGAGAAUGUUAACAUAUAUUUGAAAUCUAUAAUCUGAAAUUAAACAGAAAUAAACAAAUCCAAGUGGACGAGUCUGAUAUCUAUUUAUAACUAUAUUUAUGUUCAUAUCGCUUAUAUGGCAAUCGGUGACCUUGGGUGAUCAACUCGACGGUUAAUAAAAUGGUGUGUAGAAUAAAAUACGCACGAAACGAAGCUUCAUUAUAUUGAUGCCAUGCCCGGUAUAUUUUUUAUUUCAUACUUUGUAUGAUUUGGAUAAAUGUUUUUCAUUGUUAUAAAUCAAAUAUGAGAAUUUGAUUCAAAUCAGUGAACAUGAAAGCAUGUUAUAAAAGUUAUCUUCUCACAUUUUAUCAUAAAAUUAUAUGGCGUAGUUUUUUUUUAUCACAGAAAAUUGGUUAUUCCAUGCAUUAUUUAUACAAAAAGUUACAAUUUUGCAGAACCUGUAGCGUGAAAAAAAUCCGCUGACCAAUACUUUUUGUUAUAAUUAUCUUUAGCAACAACAACAAAACAAAAAUGGCAUAUAAAUACGAUAUACACAUAGUAAACAAGUAAUAUUCUAUGAAAGAAUUAUUUUAAAAUAAAGAAUACGGUUUUUGAGAAAAUAUUUUUGUCAAAUAUAGGUAAUCAACUUUAAUCCAGAAAUGAGAAAGUUGGCAUAUACACUAUUAAGUAUAUUUGUUCUAUAUUAUGUUCGACUCUAAAAUAUUGGUCCAUCGAUACAAUAGUAAUGAUAAGACAGUAAAGUGAUUUAUAAUGUAUUCGUUAUUUUCGUUAUCGCAUCAUAUUUUGUAUUCAAAACUACACAUUUUAAUACUUUAAACAGUAUGCAUUUUAACACAUUACGAAUUUAAGAAUAAAGGAUGAUUGUAAUAUGAAUACUGUUUCUUUAACAGAGAAAAUUGAUUGUAAUAUGAAUACUGUUUCUUUAACAGAGAAAAUUGUAUUAAGUUUUUUUAUAAGUGAAUAAUGCAGCUUUUAUAAUAAUAAAGAAUAAAUCAAAUCACAGAGUAUCAUUUUGUAACACAUAGCCUGCAUUUGAUUGUAAUUUUGUGUAAACCUAAUCGGCAGUCUUUCAAAUUAUUGUAUUUGUGCAAUAUAAAAAAAAUCCCACCAUGGCUAUCUCUACAUUAAUUAUAUCUCAUAAAUUUCAGUAUUAAAACAUUUACACAAUUAAUGUUUUAUGAAUUCAAUUGAUAGAUAUAUUUGAUUUAAAUGUAAAGACAUUUGGUUUAAAAUGCUGACAGUAACUUUAUACUUGCUUUUUGAAUCGGUCUAGAAUGUCAUUUUUCUGAGUAAUUCAUUUUUCAAAAUAAUUAAAUAUGAUAAUGAUUUUUCUUGAAUUAUAGUAUUUCGUUUUUUUUUGUAUUCUUAGAACUGAUAAGCAGUAACAUGUCCAAAAGCUUGUGCAGUUUUCCCAAAUAUGGUAUAACCAAUAAAUCAUUAUAUGUUAUAUCAAAAGACUGAAACCCCCCUUUGUCAAUGUCUAGACUAGUGAAUUUGAGAUUGCGCAAAUAUUCUUGCAAACACGACGAUAAAAAUUCUCAGUUUUUGUUAAUGAAAUAAGAUAGUUUUACAGUCAUCCAUCAUGACUUUAAUGUAUUUCUUUUGUAAAUUAAAAAUUAUCUUUAAAUUGAGAAAACAGUACCUUGUCUUUUCAUGAUAGUCCCCUGCAUAAGAAAUUAACAUUUUCAACGCACUGAACUGAAAAAAUAUAUGCCGUCAUUAAUUCUAAAAUAAUAUUUCAUUUAAUAUCAACAUUAUGCCGUUAAUGAAUAUUAGGGUGACGAAACGUAUGCCUGGCAUAUGAACUUACGGGUCUGAAAAAUUUGGUGAGGGUUUUUAUUUUAAAACCGCUAAUUUCAUGGAAAAAAGUAAAUACUAAUACUUAACUCCGUGGAAAAUUCAAAACGGAAAGUCCAUAAUAAAAAAGCAAAAUAAAAAGCUCAAAAACAUCAAACGAAUGGAUAACAACUGUCAUAUUCCUGACUUGGUACAGGCAUUUUUUUGUAUAGAAAAUGUUUGAUUAAACCCGGUUUUAUAGUUAGCUAAACAUCUCACUUGUAUGAUAAUUGCAUAAAUUCUAUCAUAUCGACAACGAUGUCUGAACAAAACAGACACAAUACACUUGUAAUUUUUGGGACCCUUUAUAUGGGGUUCGUGCUGUUUAUUCUUUAGUUUUCUAUGUUGUGUCGUGUGUGCUGUUGUUUGUUUGUCUUUUUUAUUUUUAGCCAUGGCGUUGUCAGUUUGUUUAAUAUUUAUUAGUUUGACUGUCCCUUUGGUAUCUUUCGUCCCUCUUUUAUAUCUUGCUAUUCGGUGGGUCCUAUAAUGGUUUACUUUUUUAAAUAGUGACUUGGAUGGAGAGCUGUCUAAUUGGCACUCAUACCAAAUCUUCUUAUAUCUACAAUAGGUAAACAACUAUAAAGUGCUAGAUGAAGUUUCUUCCAAUUGGGUUCCAUCAGUCCUGUAGUCAGUGUUUUCUUUAUAGAAAUACUAUUCAUAAAUAAAUUCAACAGUAGUAUACAAGUUGUUAUAAAUAAACUCAUCAUAGAAACAAGGAUGGAAAUUCUUUAUAUACGACAGACGCGAGUUUCGUCUAUAAAAGACUCACCAGUGACGAUCGAAUAAUAAAUGUUAAGUACCGGUCUUUGUAAGAAUCAUGCAGGUUCCUGUUGAUGGGCGAUUCAUGACCCCUCUUCAAAUGUCUUUAUAUUUUGUUUAUGAUGAAGGUAUGGUAUGAAAAUAAGUUUUCUGUAUUAAUUUUUUCUUUUCAACUUUGGUUGCCAUGGAAACCAUCCUUACAAAAUUUUGCCUAAAUACGUCCAUAAGUAGCCUUUGAAAAUUGAAAUAUAAUGGAUUUUAAAGAACCAUAGAAAUAAAGUUAAUCAAUACAAACAAUAUGUAUAUUUACAGUAUUGACAAACACAACCCCAAACUAUACAAAAACGUGAAAAUUUUGAAUUUACUAAAUGGUUUGUUUCCAUAGCAACCAUUUAAAAAUGUGUUAAAAUUCGAAAAUGAAAAAUUUCAAAAACUUUAAAAUUUUAAAUCUGUUUAUCUCCCAAGACCAACAAUACCAUGACAUGUCAUUGACAAAUUUUGAAAGACCACAUUCUAUAUAUUCAGAAAAUAAAAAGAAAGUCGUGUGUUUUUUUUUUUCUUUAAAAAAAUAAUUUUUUAGUCAAAAAUUGUCAAUUUUCACCAAAAUUCAGAUUACCAAACAGAUGAAUACUGAAACAUUUUGAACUUAAAAAGCUAAAACAUUCCAUUUAUGCGUGCAUUCCUGACACAAAUUUGGUAAUUAUAAAUGAGAAAAUAUGAUUGAUAGAGAUAUUUUUGUAGAGAAGGACAUUUUUUCUUUCUGGGCAUGGUGCCCCCCCCCUUUUUUUUUCAAAAUUCAAAAAAAUUAUUAAUAAAUUUAAAAGAUGGAAUUCAAUUGUGAACAUUUUGAGCAUUAAAACAUGAAAUUUCUUCAAAGGGUGAGGGCAAUAAUAGAACCCCCUACACCAUUUUUAUAUAUUAGAUUUUUUUUUUAGAAAUGGGGAAUGUGUCAAAGAGAGAACAACCCAAACAGAAAUUUAAAAUCUUUAGAUUCUAUUUCAUGGUCUUUAAAAUUGACUCUAAAGAACCUGAAUCGAUCACCUGUAAUUUUUGGUUAAAUCUUGCAUCAAUGAUUAUUUGUCCCUUCAAUAUAUAUCAAUGAGUGGCUUAACAAUUCCAUUUAAAUGUUCUUUGUAUCUGUCGUUUUUUUCUUCAAAAGCAAAAAAUGAAUUUUACCCCUAUGUUCCAUUUUAGCCAUAGUGGCUAAGUUUCUUGAAGUACAAGGAAAUAAAAAACUAAAUUUAUACAAGAUUAUAACUCCCAAGUUGGGCUGAAAUUGAUUAAGCAUAUUCAAUAUCAAAAGAAGAUUUUUUUUUAAAGGAAGCAAACUAGAUGAACAAAUUGUGAAAAAUUUCUUUAAAGGGCUAUAACUCCAUACGGAUUCAAUUGACAAUUCUGGUCAUAUAAACUUAUUUGUAGAUCCUACUUUGCUGAAAGUUGUGCUGUUUACAGUUUAUCUUUGUCAUAAAUAAUAUUCAAGAUAAUAACCAAAACUGCAAAAUUUCCGUACAAUUAACAUUUAAGUGGCAGCAACCCAACAAUGGGUUGUUAGAUUCAUCUGAAAAUUUGCUCUUAAAAGGCUUUAGUGUUUGAGAUAUGAGCUACACACUGCAUUUUACCCCUAUGUUCUUAUUUUACACAUGGCGGCCAUGUUUUUUUACAAAAUAGAAAAUAGAACACAAACUUAAUUCUAGAUAUCCUAAGGAUCAUUCAGUUUAUAAGUUUUACUGGAAUUGGUUAAGUAGUUUCAGUGGAAAUGUUUCAAAUAUUUUACACCGGACAGACGACAACGGAAGCAAAGUGAUGGCAAAAUUCACAGUUCCUUUAAAAAAAACAAAUAAAGUACAAAGUUGAAGAGCAUUGAGGACAACAAAUUCCUUAAUAUUCUGCCAAAUACAGCUAAGGUUAACUGUUACUGAGAUAGAACAGCUUUAGUAUUUCAAAAAGUUAAUUUAUAAUUAUAACAUAUCAUUGAUAACUCAAGUCAACACCGUGCUGACUACUGACCCUCGGGGAGUACAACUCCACCAGUAGUGGCAUCGACCCAGUGGUUGUAAAUAAACUCAUCAUAGACACUCGAAUAAAAAAAUGUUUAAAAACCAAAUAAAGUACGAAAUUGAGGAGCAUUGGUGACCAAACAUUCCUAAAAGUUUUGCCAAAUACAGUCUUAUCAAGGUCCGUUUCUAUGUAUGUUGUUUGUUUUUGUAGCAGUGUAAUAUUUCUGCCACGUAACUAGAGAUUGAUGCAUUAUUACUUUCAUUAUGUUAUGUAUUCUAUUCUCACUACCCAAAUUUUUUGAUUCAACGUCAGUUCUAUCUUGCAAACUUUAUGUAUUUUUGAGGUACAACAAAAUACCCUGAAAUGAAUUAAUAUCAUAUUAAAUCAAGACAUUAACAUUUAAACAUACCAGAAUAAUAAUAAAAAAAAAACAAUUAAGGUAUUUAAAAGUUUUUGACAAUCGUCUUAUAAUUUGAUAUUUUGAUACUUUGUUUCUUAUAUUGUUUAUUUAAUUUGAUUUUAAUGUAUAUUUUAACAUGGUAUUACCUUAGCUGUAUUUGGCAAAACUUUUAGGAAUUUUGGUCUGUACUGGUCUUCAACUUCGUACUUUAUUUGGCCCUUUUAACUUUUUUGAUUCGAGCGUCACUGAUGAGUCUUUUGGAGACAAAACGCGCGCGUAUAUACAAAAUUUAAUAUCUAUGAUGAGUUUAUUUACUAAAUCCAUUAUAAACUUUUACUAGGUACAGUUUGGAAUAAAUCAUUGUAAACGUGUAAAACUUUCACGUAAAGUUUAUUGUAAUUAAAGAAACUAAAUCUUCCAACCAAAAUGAGAUAAUAGUUAUAUUUCUUGUUCUAAGGCACAGGCAACAAAGAUGUUGAUGAUUUCAGUUGGCUGUUUGACAUUUAUGAUGAUGAUUCUGUCAGGAUGUCAUGGUGCGAAAUAUCCAAAAAAUAAAGGAGAGGUAUUAUACGUCUUAUCUUUCUUAGUGAAGGAUGUACUUAGAUGAAAUUAAAUAAAACAAGGAUUUAAAAUAGAUACUUUAAGCAGGAAGAGC